GAGAGGUUAAAGAUGAGGUUGAGGUUAUCACUUGGCGUCAAGAAAUUGUAUAAUAUUCCUCCAAAUGAAGUGCUCAUGAUUAGGAGCAAAAUUCAAGAUCCGGGAUCCACGUGAGAUGCAAGAGCCUUUGCUCUAUUCAAGGAUUUAGGAAGCAUUGACCAGCUGCAUGGCAAGUACAACGAGCAUUAUCAGUACAACAAGGAGAUUCAAUCAAGGCAAGAAAUUCUACCAUAUUGUUCUGAAUGAAGAGGGUAACCUUGAAGAGCAGCUUGCAACUUAAGCUGCAGCAAGGCAUUAUAGAAAAUGAGGUCUCAUGUUGGACCUCUGUUUUUGUUAGCCUUUGAUUCAUGUAAAUUC